rnacentral:misc_RNA from 1 species
UAUUAUUUUUAUUAUUAUUAUUAUAAUAUCAUAUUAAUUAGCUUAAUUAUUACACUAAUAUAAUAAACCUCAACCCUCAUCAGCUUCUUCCAAUUCUUAAGGAGGAAUCAACUCCUUUACCAACUCCUGCAAAGAGCUUGGCAAUCUCCAAUUGAGUAUUGGCUAUGAUCUCCGUUCUUUUUAGGUCCAUUUCGCCUCUCUUGGCCUCGGCUUCUAUUCUCAUUUUUUCUAGUUCUCUCAUUGUAUCCAUUCUUGCUUGUUCUGAUCUUACCACUACUUCUGCUAGCCACCUGAUGCUAUCUGCUAUCUCCCUUUCUUCCCUUCUUCUUUUCUUCUUUCUGUCCAUUUUCAUCUUCAGUUUUUUGGACCUUAAUUUCUCCUUUUCGCUAUACAAAGCUGGAGUGCUACUAUCUGUUUCCAUGGCAUUCUUAUCUGAGACAUGGUCUGAUAAUUUUGUACCAACACCAUCUUCCUUGGCCCCCCUAUCAACACCAUUGGACCCAUGUGAGUUUUGUGCAGUCCCAAUAGCUGGAGGUGGAGGAGGAGGCGGAGGAGCCAGAGGCUGUGGAGGUGGCUGUGGCAACACAUGGGAUGUCUCCAACAACAUCAAAGGAGGAGAAUGGUUGGAUGCUUGAAGAGUUGG